rnacentral:rRNA from 1 species
AAACGUAGGAGGCGAGCGUUAUCCGGAUUUACUGGGUGUAAAGCGCGUGCAGGCGGUGGGACAAGUUAACUGUGAAAGCGCCCGGCUCAACCGGGCGAGGACAGUUAAGACUGUUCGACUGGAGGCAGGUAGAGGUGUGUGGAAUUCCGGGUGUAGUGGUGAAAUGCGUAGAGAUCCGGAGGAACACCAGUGGCGAAGGCGACACACUGGGCCUGGCCUGACGCUCAGACGCGAAAGCAUGGGGAGCGAACGGGAUUAGAAACCCCGGUAGUCCAUGCUGUAAACGAUGCGGACUAGGUGUUGCGGGUUGAAUCCCCUGCAGUGCCGCAGCCAACGUGAUAAGUCCGCCACCUGGGGACUACGGCCGCAAGGUUAAA